rnacentral:rRNA from 1 species
GACGAACGCUGGCGGCGUGCUUAACACAUGCAAGUCGAGCGGUAAGGCCCUUUCGGGGGUACACGAGCGGCGAACGGGUGAGUAACACGUGGGUGACCUGCCCUCAGCUCUGGGAUAAGCCUGGGAAACCGGGUCUAAUACUGGAUAUGACUCCAUGACGCAUGUUGUGGGGUGGAAAGCCUUGUGCGGCUGAGGAUGGGCCCGCGGCCUAUCAGCUUGUUGGUGGGGUGAUGGCCUACCAAGGCGACGACGGGUAGCCGGCCUGAGAGGGCGACCGGCCACACUGGGACUGAGACACGGCCCAGACUCCUACGGGAGGGCAGCAGUGGGGAAUCUUGCGCAAUGGGCGAAAGCCUGACGCAGCGACGCCGCGUGAGGGAUGACGGCCUCGU